GACGAAACGCUGGCGGCGUGCUUAAACACAUGCAAAGUCAAAGGGGGCUCCGCAAGGGGCAACCGGCGAAACGGGUGCGUAACACGUGAGCAACCUGCCUUGAAGUGGGGGAUAGCCGGCCCAACGGUCGGGUAAUACCGCAUACGGUCUUCUGGUGGCAUCACCGGGGGAAGAAACGCUUGACGGCUUCAAGAGGGGCUCGCGGCCUAUCAGCUAGUUGGUG
rnacentral:rRNA from 1 species